CAUCUAUGAUCCUGGGCAUCGGAAGGGGGCACAGCACGAAAAGCAAUAAUGCUCAUAAUACUUUGCACUUUUACAGCACCUGUCGCCAGAGGAAGGGAAAGUAUUUCGUAGUGGGAACCUGCCCAGGAUGUGGAAACUGAGACACCAAGAGGCCGUGAGGCUCGCACCACCCUGCCCUGCUGGAAGGGAGCUGGGGAGCCCAGCCGGGCCUCGCAGUGCCCCACACCACGAGCCCCCAGCCCCACGCACGCUUCCACGCACGAGGAGCUCCCUUUUCGUGUAAUAAGCGCUGGUGGAUGAGUUGCUUCAGGUUACGUGUCAUGAGCAGAGUGACAAAGAGCACACCGUGACGCAUGCAGCGAAGGGAGAGGGGACAGAAACGGGGUCCCGGAGUCAUUUGGGGGCCCCGACAGAGGUUCCCUGUGUGACCUGGGGCACAUCCCUCUCCCGUCAGCGGGGACCUGGGCUUCCACACCUUGGGUCCGUGCAGUGGGCCAGCAGCACUUGUCUGUGCAAAGUACCUUGAGCUCUGCAGGUGAAAAUUACUAUGCAAGUCAUAAAUAUUAAAUAACUGGUAAGAAGUGUUUUCUAUUUGACCCUGCAGACCCCUUUAAACAGGCCGGGUGUAUGUGUCUGUAUGGAAAAUACAGAAGUAGGCAUAUUGAAGCUGAUAAAAAUGAGCACGUUAGCUGGGCUAGGAGUCCCUGUGAGAAGUGGGUGAACCCACACCUGUGUGUCUGUCAGUGCUCACUGGCAGGUGAGGGAAUAAAACCCGCAUCCCUCAUCCAAAACGCAUCCGUGCAUGAUCCCACCCAGCCCACGCUCCCCGUUUCGAGACCCCAUUCCUUUGUAGGCUUCUGGGGACCCUUCCCGAGCCCGGCUGCCUUUGAAGAGCUAGGGGUGCACGAUAAACCCGAGUCAAUUUGCAUUGCAAUUCAGCCUUUGACAGACAGUUGGAGCCAAGGCACUG